GUCAGAGAAAACAGCACUUUGAAUGCUCCAGUUUCCAUUGGAUCACUGAAGAUAAGCAACGGUGCGUAUGGUUAGUGUCCGGAUGGGUGACCAUCUGAACAAUAGCGUGCGUACCAAUCG
rnacentral:rRNA from 1 species